CUUGAUGGAGCCCAGCCACAGCGGCCGUUCGGCGUCGCGGUCCUGGCCGUAGGUGGCGAUGACGGCCUGGGCCUC
rnacentral:antisense_RNA from 1 species